CAGGUGCGUAGCUCAACAGGUCAGAGCGCGGGAAUGUGGCCCCCGAGGCGGCGGUUCGAGCCUGCCCCACCUGA
rnacentral:tRNA from 1 species